GCAAUGGGCAUGAAGUGGAGCACGUAAGGGCUUAAAAGAGGAGGGGACCCACACGAUGGACAUCUUGGUAUAACUGGGAGCAUGGAGCUAUGCAUGGGAUGCGCGUUGGAUCCAUGUGCUGUGCAUGGAAUGGAUGUUGGGUGCGGCUUGGCUUGGGCAUGCUUGCAGAGGCAAAAUAAAGGAGGGCUGGCUCAUGAAAAUAGGAACUCAAUGGUUUGGGAAGCAUUUGGACGUGAACGUGUGGGACCAAGCAAGCGGGUGCAAUUUGAAUCCGCGGGAUGUUUUGGCAGGCUUCUAUUGCAAACCAAAGUGGGCGGCAUGCGGUUCAAACGAGGAAGCUUCGCGUGCGCUUUAAAUGAAUGCGCUUAAUGUGCGCGAAAACUGACGAGUAGGGGUGAACACGAAAGUGGGAACUGGUGAGCGCGCGUAGAUUCAAAAGUGCUAGAUUCACGUGGGUGUGCAGCGGACCGACGGUUUAAAUGCGUUGGUUCGUACGAAUAAAAAGCACAAACCUGUUGGAUGCGAAGCGAUAAGAUGAAGCGGGCAGAACAAACGCGAUGGGUUGUUGGACGCGACACGGAAUAAACGCGUGGUAUGAAGUUUAUAAAAAGAAAGCCGCAGAGGAUCAAAGCGGGGAUUUUUUCAGGCCACAAGCCGAAGGACGGGUCGUGAUCUAAUGGGUACGAGCCAUGUUCCCAUCAGAUAGGUUGUAUCUUGAUAGGUGACAUAUAGACUCGUUACAUCGAAGGAGGAUAUUAACUGUCUAUCAGGUAACCAGAUUCCUGUAUAUGGCAUUGAUGGAAAAAGAAGUAGAUAUGGCUUCGACGAGGGAAAGCAAUGCAACGAGAAGUCUUGCCUUUGACCAGUGAGUGGUAUACAGUGCAG